rnacentral:lncRNA from 1 species
UUUGAAUCUCUUUGCUUUGCAUUAAUGUUGUUUCCACCUGUAUGAAUGAUUAUGUAUUGCAUAUGUAAUGACUUUACUUAUUGUUGUUCCCAUGUAGUGGAAUGUCAUCAUACUUAUAUGGUUGUUGUCAAGAGAUAUUGUUACUUAUGAACUUGUCACUUCUUUUUGUCAUUGAUAAUGCAAUCAACAGUGAUAUUUUUCCAAACUCGCAUGGUAAAACUAUCGACCGUCUAAUGUUACUUUAUUGGUUCACCA